AUCCAGCAGACAAGUCCCAAAUAGGACAAAACAUGCGUUGUGGAU
rnacentral:hammerhead_ribozyme from 1 species